rnacentral:rRNA from 1 species
UACGAAGGGGGCUAGCGUUGUUCGGAAUUACUGGGCGUAAAGGGCGCGUAGGCGGUGCAUCAAGUCAGGCGUGAAAGCCCCGGGCUCAACCUGGGAACCGCGCUUGAGACUGGUGCGCUCGAGUUCGGGAGAGGAUGGUGGAAUUCCCAGUGUAGAGGUGAAAUUCGUAGAUAUUGGGAAGAACACCAAUGGCGAAGGCAGCUCUCUGGGACGGUACUGACGCUGAGACGCGAAAGCGUGGGGAGCGAACAGG